rnacentral:tRNA from 1 species
UAGUUUUAGUAGUUGAAUAACAACGAUGGUCUUUUCAAGUCAA